ensembl:miRNA mirlet7g-2 microRNA let-7f-2
UGAGGUAGUAGAUUGUAUAGUUUGGGGGUGACGCCCUGAGCUGGAGAUAACUAUACAGUCUACUGUCUUUCC